CCUACGGGAGUCAGCAGUGGGGGAUAUUGCACAAUGGGGGGAACCCUGAUGCAGCGACGCCGCGUGGGUGAAGAAGCGCCUCGGCGCGUAAAGCCCUGUCAGCAGGGAAGAAAAUGACGGUACCUGAAGAAGAAGCCCCGGCUAACUACGGGCCAGCAGCCGCGGUAAUACGUAGGGGGCAAGCGUUAUCCGGAUCUACUGGGUGUAAGGGGGGCGCAGACGGCGAUGCAAGCCAGGGGUGAAAGCCCGGGGCCCAACCCCGGGACUGCUCUUGGAACUGCGUGGCUGGAGUGCAGGAGGGGCAGGCGGAAUUCCUGGUGGAGCGGUGAAAUGCGUAGAUAUCAGGAGGAACACCGGUGGCGAAGGCGGCCUGCUGGACUGCAACUGACGUUGAGGCCCGAAAGCGUGGGGAGCAAACAGGAUUAGAUACCCGGGUAGUC
rnacentral:rRNA from 1 species